CUGUGGGUGAUCGAGUCGGGUCUUUAUGGCCCACCUCCCACCCGUGACUAUUGUACCUUGUUGCUUCGGCGGGCCCGCCAGCGUUGCUGGCCGCCGGGGGGCGACUCGCCCCCGGGCCCGUGCCCGCCGGAGACCCCAACAUGAACCCUGUUCUGAAAGCUUGCAGUCUGAGUGUGAUUCUUUGCAAUCAGUUAAAACUUUCAACAAUGGAUCUCUUGGUUCCGGCAUCGAUGAAGAACGCAGCGAAAUGCGAUAACUAAUGUGAAUUGCAGAAUUCAGUGAAUCAUCGAGUCUUUGAACGCACAUUGCGCCCCCUGGUAUUCCGGGGGGCAUGCCUGUCCGAGCGUCAUUGCUGCCCUCAAGCCCGGCUUGUGUGUUGGGCCCUCGUCCCCCGGCUCCCGGGGGACGGGCCCGAAAGGCAGCGGCGGCACCGCGUCCGGUCCUCGAGCGUAUGGGGCUUCGUCUUCCGCUCCGUACGCCCGGCCGGCGCCCGCCGACGCAUUUAUUUGCAACUUGUUUUUUUCCAGGUUGACCUCGGAUCAGGUAGGGAUACCCGCUGAACUUAAGCAUAUCAAUAAGGGCGGAGGGAACGAGUGG
rnacentral:rRNA from 1 species